UCCCCUGUAGCUCAGCUGGUAAAGAACCUGCCUGCAAUGCAGGAGACCUGGGUUUGAUCCCUGGGUUGGGAA
rnacentral:tRNA from 1 species